CAAUAGCGUAUAUUAAAGUUGUUGCGGUUAAAAAGCUCGUAGUUGGAUUUCUGCCGAGGACGACCGGUCCGCCCUCUGGGUGAGUAUCUGGCUUGGCCUGGGCAUCUUCUCGAAAAACGUUUCUGCGCUUGAUUGCGUGGUGCGGUGUUCGGGACUUUUACUUUGAGGAAAUUAGAGUGUUCACGGCAGGCAUACGCCUUGAAUAUAUUAGCAUGGAAUAAUAAUAUAGGAUCUUGGUUCUAUUUUGUUGGUUUCUAGAGCUAAGAUAAUGAUUAAUAGGGACAAUUGGGGGCAUUCGUAUUGACGAGUCAGAGGUGAAAUUCUUGGAUUUCGUCACGACGAACUACUGCGAAAGCAUUUGCCAAGGAUGUUUUCAUUGAUCAAGAACGAAAGUAAGGGGAUCGAAGACGAUCAGAUACCAU
rnacentral:rRNA from 1 species